AUCACCUGGGGAUCUUGUUAAAAUGCAGACUUGAUUCAGAAGGGCUGGGGUGGGGUCUGAGGUUCUGCAUUUCAAACAAUCUCCCAGGUGAUCCCAA
rnacentral:pre_miRNA from 1 species